rnacentral:pre_miRNA from 1 species
AGUGGGAUUAUUGAGUUAUAUGGUAAUUUUAUUUUCAACUUUUUGAAGAACCACCAAGUUUUUUCCUACAGCAGCUGCAUCAUUUUACAAACUUACCAACAGU